UAGAAAAAUAGCGGUGUUGUGGAAAGAAUGAAGACACAUGUUGCUAUUGCUAUUUUUGGCAGGAUAACUAGUUAGGACAAACGGAUGCACGCUAUAGUCAGGUCCGAAAAAGCGUUUUUCAGUUUGCUCAUCUUUAUUGGAAAGAAACGCCUUGCUCAUCUUUAUUGGAAAGAAACGCCCCUUGACCUCAGGUCCGAAAAAGCGAUUUCCAGUUUGCUCAACAGAAAUUAAAAGUAGAGCUCGGUACAGCACACAGUUCCGUCCUUAGUAUAAGGAAACGUGCAUCGGACCCGCCGGCGCUGGUGCAUGUCGUCAU
rnacentral:lncRNA from 1 species